rnacentral:rRNA from 1 species
CAGUAGCCGCGGGAACACGUAGGGUGCAAGCGUUAAUCGGAAUUACUGGGCGUAAAGCGUGCGCAGGCGGUUAUAUAAGACAGAUGUGAAAUCCCCGGGCUCAACCUGGGAACUGCAUUUGUGACUGUAUAGCUAGAGUACGGCAGAGGGGGAUGGAAUUCCGCGUGUAGCAGUGAAAUGCGUAGAUAUGCGGAGGAACACCGAUGGCGAAGGCAAUCCCCUGGGCCUGUACUGACGCUCAUGCACGAAAGCGUGGGGAGCAAACAGGAUUAGAUACCCCUGUAGUCCCUGUCUCUUAUAC